AGCAGCCGAGCUACCCGUCGAAGCCCCAGCAGCCGAGCUACCCGUCGAAGCCCCAGCAGCCGAGCUACCCGUCGGUGGGAUACUCUUCUCUUCCUCGAAAAGGUGUCGCUCCAAGAGGUUUUAGACGGAUUCCAUCUGUGUACCAGCCCACAUGGCGGCAGCAGCAACUGGUACCUGCAUACAAUGGGCUUCAACCUUAGAUUCCUGACCUGUUCCUGGAAGCAGUCUGACUUAUCAAGUUUUGUCAAUUGAAUAAAAUACUGGAAACUAUA